rnacentral:rRNA from 1 species
UACAGAGGGUGCAAGCGUUAAUCGGAAUUACUGGGCGUAAAGCGCGCGUAGGCGGUUACGUAAGUUUGAUGUGAAAUCCCCGGGCUCAACCUGGGAAUUGCAUUUAAAACUGCGUGGCUAGAGUGUGGGAGAGGAAGGUAGAAUUCCAGGUGUAGCGGUGAAAUGCGUAGAUAUCUGGAGGAAUACCGAUGGCGAAGGCAGCCUUCUGGCCUAACACUGACGCUGAGGUGCGAAAGCAUGGGGAGCAAACAGG